GUUUUCAAUAUGAAUAUAUGAUCAAAAGUGUGACAUGAAAAAUAUGAAAUCAUUACACAAAAUGUUGACAUUUCUAAUGUAAUAUUUAUGUGAAAUAUGGAUAAUUUAUUGAGAUACUAGAAGUCAAUAACAAUAUUAUCUAUGAAAUUAAAAAGUAAAAAUGUACAUAGCCUAAAGAAUUCAGUACACUAGUCUGUAGGCAGUAUGUCCUUGAACAAUAUUUGUUUGGGGGCGAAUUGACCCUUAAAAAUGAUCCCCAAGAUUAGAGAGUUUUAUAAUAUUUAUCACGUCACGAAAUUCUUUGGUGCUGUUUUGCAUUAAUGGGUGUAACCUACCUCUCUCCCCACCUGUUGCUUUGAAACAUAAAAUACAUUAUUGACUGCAUUAAUAUUUCCAGUUUAGACUUUUUAUUUGCUGUAUCGAUAAAAUCUUAAUAAAAUUCUAUGUUUUGUUUAUGAUAUAUGCAUAUAUAAUAUACAUUUGUACAAUUACCCAGUAAGAAGAGAGACGCUGAGGUAUAAUGAACUGAUGGCAGUAACCCAAAGAACACAGAUUUUUAGUAAAUAGAGGUAGAAUACUAAGAAUUUAAUCUUGUCAUCGAACAAGGUUUUUCAACGCGAGAAAGUAAAUAGCACAUGCUUGGGGUUAAUAUACGCCAUCAGCUGGGUCAUUAGCUGCGCAAUACAAUUAUUAAUAUCUAUUUGGUGUAAUCCUAUUUUUUCAUAUAAAAGAUAAGUAUUCAUCCAAAAGGUAAAUUCUAACACAGGACCUUAUGGAAACAAUACAACAAACAGCAUUUUUAUUUAGCUUUGUUUAGUAUAAAUUGAAUAUCAACAGAAACUUCGUGAUGUUUCUGACAUUAAAAUUAUUGCAUAUUACAAAGCAUAUUUAAUAGUAUUUCUUGGCAACAAUCAAAAGGCAAAGGGGAAAUAUUAUUAUGGCUAUAAUACAGACAUGCAA
rnacentral:lncRNA from 1 species